CUAACGGGAACCCCGCCAUGCGCCCAGAUCCAUAGGCGGUCGGUCAGUCGUCGGAAAGCGACGGCUCCACUCCCGAUCUCUCCCUCCUCCUCCUCCGCAGCCGCAGCAGCAGCAUGCCGCCAGCCGCCGCGUGCAGUGCUGAUCGAUCGAACUCCGAGCCCCCUCGCCCUCCCAAAAACGAAAAAAAAAAGGGAGGACAAAAAAGCUGCUUGGUGGGAAAUUUUGGCUUGUGUGGUGGUGGUGCGCGGCGAGGGGGAGGAGAGGACGCGGCGGAGGCAGCUUUUUGGGCGGCGAGUGAUGAGAUGGGAUGAUGAGGUGAGGUGAGGGGAGGGGAGGAGUUAAUUAGAAAGGGAGAAGGAGACACAUAGGAAGAGCUGCUGCUGCUGCACACUGCCACGCCGCCAACG
rnacentral:lncRNA from 1 species